UACGUACCGUCCAAACGUUAUUCGGAAUUACUGGGCGUAAAGCGUGCGCAGGCGGUCUUGCAAGACAGAUGUGAAAUCCCCGGGCUUAACCUGGGAACUGCAUUUGUGACUGCAAGGCUGGAGUGCGGCAGAGGGGGAUGGAAUUCCGCGUGUAGCAGUGAAAUGCGUAGAUAUGCGGAGGAACACCGAUGGCGAAGGCAAUCCCCUGGGCCUGCACUGACGCUCAUGCACGAAAGCGUGGGGAGCAAACAGG
rnacentral:rRNA from 1 species